UAUUAAAACAUGUGCUAUUCAAUCUCUAUUAUUUCAUAUUUGAUAAUUCUUAUACUUUUUUUCAGAAAUUAUAAAUUAUGAAGAUUCAUUCACAAAACAAUCAGAAAAAGGCCUCAAUAUUUGCAGUAAACAAGCCUAAAAUAAAGUUGAAGCCCAAACCCGCAGCCCAACCUUGUCGGAUGCAUGUUUGCGCAUGCAUGGAGAAAGACCCACAUGAGAAAGCUAUGCAUGCGUGGACUCAUGAACAUUUAUGGUGCAAAAGGAUGUACGAGGGAAGACCAAAAAAAAUUUUCACAAGGCUCAUAGGUAUCCCCCCCUCCACAUGAUCCAUGGUGGACCAAAGGCAAAGAGUGGUUCAUGGUGGACCGCAUGGAAGAUAAAAGGAUGGGUCCUGGAGCUUCAUGUGGAAAGAAGGCUGAGAGCGGCAUGAGGAUUUAAACAAUGCUGGGUGGCUGUCUUUUUUUAUUUGGUCCACUUGAGCGGCGUGAAGGCUACGCGGGGAAAGGAAAUGGGCUUGCGGCUAGAUCAAAGGAAAUGGGCUUGCGGCUAGAUCCAUAGGCGCAAUCCUUCAAAUGGUAUACGAUGCGCAUGUUUGGUGACGAAAUAGGAGAGACAAUUUUAAGAGAAAAUAAAUAUCUAUUUUUUUCAUUAGUCCCACAUCUGAAACACACAAAAGCUUUUCUCUUCCUAACAUCUAUAAAUAAAGCCUAAUGCCUCCACUCUUAGAUAUUUCUCUUCAUAUCACACCUGUUGUAGGGGCUCACGCGACAGGCGGAAAUACCCACUUUGUAAAUUCUUUAGCUUUUUUUCUACUUUCUUCCACCCGUCCAACACACGAAAAGGAGAGUCAGUCAGGGGGAGGU
rnacentral:lncRNA from 1 species